UGGGGGAUAGUUCAACGGCAGAACCCUUGACUCUGACUCAAGUGAUCUUGGUUCGAAUCCAGGUCCCCCAG
rnacentral:tRNA from 1 species